rnacentral:rRNA from 1 species
GACGAACGCUGGCGGCGUGCCUAAUACAUGCAAGUAGAACGCAGUUGCGAACGGGUGAGUAACGCUUAGGCAACUUCCCCAUAGCGGGGGAUAACUAUUGGAAACGAUAGCUAAUACUGCAUACUGUGAGAUGGAUCUGCGUUGUAUUAGUUAGUUGGGGAGGUAAAGGCUCACCAAGGCGACGAUACAUAGCCGACCUGGGAGGGUGGUCGGCCACACUUGGACUGGUGAACGGCCCAGAAUCCUCAGGGAGGCAGCAAUAGGGGAUCUUCGGGAAUGGACGGAAGUCUGACCGAGCAACGCCGCGGGAGUGGAGAAGGUUUUCGGAUCGUAAAACUCUGUUGUUGGAGAAGCGGUAUCUAACCAGAAAGGGACGGCUAACUACGUGCCAGCAGCCGCGGUAAUUC